UGGCUAUGAAUAAUAUAACCAAUAAGAUACAUUAUUGUCAAUUUGUCGUCAUGUUUUUGAGAAUUAAAAAAUUGUGUUCAACAUUAAUAUAUUCAGUGCAGAAAAUGAAUACAAAGUGUACGAUACUAUUUAAUUCUACUACUAUCUGAUAUUCGUUUGAAUGUGAUACGUGUACUUCAAUAUUACAGUAAUUCUGUAUUUGUUAAUUACUUCUUUUUGAUAAAUACCUCCGAUCUUGGCCGAGUAUCAAUAUCUGACUACUCCAAUCUGAUUUUAUUUAUUCCUAAUAAAUAAUAAAAUUGCAUUUUUAUAUAAUUGUCAAUUGGGCAAUAGAGCCCAAUUAUUAAUUUUGUGUCAAAUUAUUUUUUA